rnacentral:rRNA from 1 species
CCUACGGGGGGCAGCAGUGGGGAAUAUUGCACAAUGGGGGAAACCCUGAUGCAGCGACGCCGCGUGAGUGAAGCAGUAUCUCGGUACGUAAAGCUCUAUCAGCAGGGAAGAAAAUGACGGUACCUGACUAAGCAGCCCCGGCUAACUACGUGCCAGCAGCCGCGGUAAUACGUAGGGGGCAAGCGUUAUCCGGAUUUACUGGGUGUAAAGGGCGCGUAUACGGCAGCCCAAGCCUGAAGUGAAAUCCCGGGGCUUAACCCCGGAACUGCUUUGGAAACUGGGCGGUUGGAGUGCAGGGGGGGUAAGCGGAAUUCGUAGUGGAGCGGUGAAAUGCGUAGAUAUUAGGAGGAACCCCGAUUGCGAAGGCAGCCUGCCGCAGCGUUACUGACGCUGAAGCUCGAAAGCGCGGGUAUCGAACAGGAUUAGAUACCCUUGUAGUC